rnacentral:rRNA from 1 species
GAUGAACGCUGACAGAAUGCUUAACACAUGCAAGUCAUUGGCGAAGCUGCGCUUGCGCAGUCUAGCCAAGGCGGACGGGUGAGUAACGCGUAAGGAACUUGCCCUGCAGACAGGGAUAACAGACGGAAACGACUGAUAACACCUGGUAUUGUCAGGCUGGCGCAUGCCGGCCUGAUGAAAGGAGACGCUGCAGGAGAGCCUUGCGUCCUAUUAGCUAGUUGGUGGGGUAACGGCCCACCAAGGCGAUGAUAGGUAGCCGGCCUGAGAGGGUGAACGGCCACAAGGGGACUGAGAUACGGCCCCUACUCCUACGGGAGGCAGCAGUGGGGAAUAUUGGACAAUGGGGGCAACCCUGAUCCAGCAAUUCUGUGUGCACGAAGAAGGUUUUCGGAUUGUAAAGUGCUUUCAGCAGGGAAGAAGAAAGUGACGGUACCUGCAGAAGAAGCGACGGCUAAAUACGUG